rnacentral:rRNA from 1 species
CAACACCUACGGGGGGCAGCAGUGAGGAAUAUUGGUCAAUGGUCGGGAGACUGAACCAGCCAAGCCGCGUGAGGGAUGAAGGUACAGAGUAUCGUAAACCUCUUUUGUCAGGGAACAAAGGCGGGGACGCGUCCCCGGAUGAGUGUACCUGAAGAAAAAGCAUCGGCUAACUCCGUGCCAGCAGCCGCGGUAAUACGGAGGAUGCGAGCGUUAUCCGGAUUUAUUGGGUUUAAAGGGGGCGCAGGCGGGCUGGUAAGUCAGGGGUCA